rnacentral:tRNA from 1 species
UCCUGGUGGCUCAGAUGGUAAAGCGUCUGCCUGCAAUGCAGGAGACCUGGGUUCGAUUCCUGGGUCGGGAA